UGCAAACAGCGACUCACAGGAUGGAUGACGGUGAACGUGCAAAAGACAUAGAGCUGCGCCGAGCUCCGGAGGAGCCCCCGAACACGGAUGAGCGGCCCAAGUGGGACAACAAGGUCCAGUACCUGCUGACAUGCAUCGGGUUCGCGGUUGGGCUGGGCAACGUGUGGCGGUUCCCCUACCUAUGCCAGGUGUACGGGGGAGGUGCGUUCCUGAUCCCGUACCUCAUCGCGUUGCUGCUGGAGGGCCUGCCGCUGCUUCACAUGGAGCUGGCCAUCGGGCAGAGGCUCCGCAUGGGUAGCAUAGGUGUCUGGAACUCGAUCUCACCGUACCUCGGAGGAGUGGGUGUGGCGUCCCUGACCGUCUCUUUUUUAGUGGGUUUGUUCUACAAUACUAUACUCGCCUGGGUUCUGUGGUACUUGUUCCAUUCGUUCCAAAACCCGUUACCUUGGCAGUCUUGUCCCACCAAGGCCAAUCACACUGGCCUUUUGGAGGAAUGUGAGAGGAGCACGCCAGUGAACUACUUCUGGUACAGAGUGACGCUGAACAUCACUACAGACAUCGCGGUCAGCGGGGAUCCACAGUGGUGGCUCGUGGUGUGUCUGGCUUUAGCCUGGUGUAUCGUCUACAUCUGCUUCAUCCGGGGCAUCGAGACCAUUGGCAAGGCAAUAUAUGUCACAGCCACCUUCCCCUAUCUGGUGCUGACGAUCUUCCUGAUCCGGGCCUUGACCCUGCCUGGGGCUAUGCUUGGACUGCACUACCUCUUCACCCCCAACUGGGAAACCCUGAAGAACCCCACAGUGUGGCUGGAUGCUGCCACACAGAUUUUCUUCUCUCUGUCUCUGGCCUUUGGGGGGUUGAUUGCAUUUUCCAGUUAUAAUCCACAAAAGAACAACUGUGAACGAGACGCCCUUAUAGUUGGAUGCAUCAACAGUGCAACGUCAAUUUACGCAUCGAUACCCAUUUUUGCUAUCCUGGGAUUCAAGGCGCAGUCCAACUACAACGACUGUCUAAAUGAUAAUAUUUUAAGCUUGAUCAACACUUUUAAUAUUGCGGACGGGAAUGUGACAGAGAACAAUUAUGGGGAAUGGCUGUCCUAUCUUAAUUCCACAAAUCCAUACGAAGUGGAACAACUUCAUCUAAAGACAUGCGACCUCCAAACCCUUCUUGACCAGAGCGCCUCAGGCACUGGCUUGGCCUUCAUCGUGUUCACUGAGGCGGUCAUAAAGAUGCCCGGCUCCCAGGUCUGGGCAGUGCUCUUCUUUAUCAUGCUCUUCACGCUGGGUCUCUCGUCGAUGUUUGGAAAUCUAGAGGGUGUCUUGACCCCUCUGCUGGACCUGCACUUGGUGCCCAAGUGCAUUCCUAAAGAGAUUUUCACAGGUCUCAUCUGCGUAGUCUCCUUCACAGUGGCCCUCAUCUUCACUCUGGGCUCUGGGAACUACUGGCUGGAAAUUUUUAAUAACUAUGUGGGCUCCCUUCCUCUGCUGGUCAUUGCCUUCUUUGAGAUCACAGCCGUGAUCUACAUCUACGGUGCCAAUAGAUUUAGUGACGAUAUCGAGUGGAUGACAGGACACAGGCCCAACCUGUACUGGCAAGCUACAUGGAGGGUGAUCAGUCCACUAAUGUUGCUGGUAGUUUUCCUGGCUUAUGUGGUGGUGCAGGCACAAGACAAGCCCACCUAUGAAGCAUGGAACCCACAAUAUAUAAGGGUUCCUUAAGGCAAGGAGUGUCUGUCAGUGAGGAUAAGAGGAGCGCUCUGCCGCAGGUUUCUCACCGCUAGCAGGGAGGGCUGGAGAGCGAACUACCGCCAGCCCGUCUUCCUGGCUGGCACGGGCCUGGCCUUCUUCUACAAAACUGUACUGGGCUUCGACUGCAUCACCAUCGGCUAUGACUGCACGCGGGGUGAGAGUGGCACACUGCUCAGGCUGCUCAUGGCCGUCUCAAGUCCACUGAACCACUAAUUGAUAAGGUCUCGUUCUGUUUGUGUGUGCUCAGAUUUAGUGACGAUAUCGAGUGGAUGACAGGACACAGGCCCAACCUGUACUGGCAAGCUACAUGGAGGGUGAUCAGUCCACUAAUGCUGCUGGUAGUUUUCCUGGCUUAUGUGGUGGUGCAGGCACAAGACAAGCCCACCUAUGAAGCAUGGAACCCACAAUAUAUAAGGGUUCCUUAAGGCAAGGAGUGUCUGUCAGUGAGGAUAAGAGGAGCGCUCUGCCGCAGGUUUCUCACCGCUAGCAGGGAGGGCUGGAGAGCGAACUACCGCCAGCCCGUCUUCCUGGCUGGCACGGGCCUGGCCUUCUUCUACAAAACUGUACUGGGCUUCGACCGCAUCACCAUCGGCUAUGACUGCACGCGGGGUGAGAGUGGCACACUGCUCAGGCUGCUCAUGGCCGUCUCAGCCACAGCCUGCCUGCAGGUUAUGGUGCUUUACUAAAAUGCGCAGGACGCUGAGGCUUGUAGACACUGGGAGUGUUUCUAGUGGCUUGCCUGCUGCUGUGUGUUCUCCGUGUUCGCCCCUGGCAGCCCCAUGGACCCGGGCUUGCCAACGGUCGGGAAACAGAUUGGGUGCAGACAGCAUGUCAUGGGAAGGGCUCAGCAGGAACAACGCUCUUCUGCAGGGUGGCAGCAACCAGCCGCUGCCGCAUGACUGCUUCUCCAUUCUCUGGGCCAACAACACUGCGCUUUUCGAAAACACUCCUCGAGGAGCCCCGAGUACUGCAUGCUCACCACUCUGCUGUUCCUCGGAAUGAUCAUGGCCCAAGUCCAUGAGCAGAGUGAUCGUGUGCUCCGUCUCUUGUGCCUUUAGGACUCCACCCCCCACCCCCCCAAUACACUGAGGUAAUAAAAUACAUUUAUUUCAACUGACUAGCUUUACGCAAUGUUAGAAGCUGUCAGUGUUUCCAUCUGUUGUUGAUGAGAGCCCUGCUGACUAGCUAACGCCUCUGACCUACAGGGAAGGUAACGUUAGUGUCAAUACACUACUAACAUUAGCUAUCAUAGUUAAGUUACCUGGAAGGGUCAAGGGCAUAUUCAACAAACAUUAAUGUUUUUAUAUUUUGUUAUGUUUGUUCGAAAUCCCACGUGAAGUCUUAGUAAUGUGUCAGUCAUUGUAGUGAUACAUGUGAACAUCUAGAGAGUAGUAGAUUUAAAUAAUUGCAUAUUUGUAUAGUAUCCUUUGCAGCUGUACUGGCUUAUGGUAAAUGACAUUAUUAGUGUCAGUUUGAAAAAGUGAAAGCACAUUUUUAUGAGUCCGCACUUGUCAGCUUUCAUUCACAAUAAGUGGAAGGGUGACAGUGGCAUUCAGCGUUUUUUUGGGCAACUUCAGAAAAAAAAGAAAAGUAAGCUGUGAGAAAAUGAGCACUAGUCAGAUGAUAUAAGUAUACUUAAUUUUUCCUGACAUCAUAAUGAACAGUCAGAUAAGAAAUUGUCAGCAAUCCAUUCCUGAGCAUCACGGCAGGAAAUACCAGUUGUUUAUCGAUAAUAUUUUUCAUGUUCUCUCUGGUUCAUUCAAAGUAGAGAAAGAAAGUGAGAGGGAGAGUAUGAGGAUGCUGACAGGUCAGGCAGAGGUGGUGACUUGCAAGUGAGUGAGAUCACACAAUGCCAUUACACUAGCCCAGUCCUGAUGUACAGACUCCUGUUAGCCUUCACAUAUCCAUCAAGUCUUUCUUGUCACUAGUUUAGUGAUAAUACUUGUGAUGAAAUUUCUUUCAGCUCUGGUUCAUUCAGAGUAAAGAGAGAGAGCAUGAGGGCAGUAACGGGGAUAUGGAGUAAUGGGGAUAUGGAGGUGAGUGAGAAAAGAAGCAAACAUUGAUGGUUCAGACAAAGUAAUGACAUCAUAACAGUCUCAUCCUAAUGUUAACUUAAGAUAUUUAAAUAAUAUUAAUGUUAUAUGAUAAAAAUAAUAAUAUA